rnacentral:rRNA from 1 species
CGGGUGAGUAAUGUCUGGGAAACUGCCUGAUGAGGGGGAUAACUGCUGGAAACGGUAGCUAAUACCGCAUAACGUCGCAAGACCAAAGAGGGGGACCUUCGGGCCUCUUGCCAUCGGAUGUGCCCAGAUGGGAUUAGCUAGUAGGUGGGGUAACGGCUCACCUAGGCGACGAUCCCUAGCUGGUCUGAGAGGAUGGCCAGCCACACUGGAACUGAGACACGGUCCAG